rnacentral:pre_miRNA from 9 species
UCUCGAUAGCGUAAAAGUUAACUCAGAUUUGUAUGCAGUUCGAACGUUUGCCUACGUUUGCCGCUAGGGGCGCUGUUGCAUACAAAUUUAAGUUAACUUUUACGCUAUCAA